UUUUGCACUAUUUGUAUAAAUAUUUAUACCAUUUGUAUAUAUAUUGCACUUUUAUGAGAAAAUGUUGCACCAUUUAGAUAGUAUGUUGCACUCUUUCUUUUUAAAAAUUAAAGUGCUUAUCUAUCAAAUAAAGAGAUGCAAUUUCUUGAAAAUGACAACUAGUAGGCCAUAAUUGUAUAUACCUUUUUCGAGAGACGAGAAUGCUCAUUUAAGACAAAAUACAAAAAGUAAAGUAUUGUUAAUAAGAUGAAAGCGUACAACAUUCUCUCAAAUAGUGCAACAUUAGAGAGAACGUUACACUAUUUUAUUUUAAUGUUGUAAUCUUUCAUUAUAUUAAUGAUAAUUUAUUUUUUAUUUUAUCUUAAUUAAAUGAGGAUUCUCGUCUUUCGAAAAAGUACAUAUAAUUAUAACUUAGCAGCUGUUAUUUUUAAAAAAUUUAACACUUUAUUUUAUAUACAAUGUACUUUAAUUUUUAAAAAGAAAGAGUGCAACAUAAUAUCUAAAUGGUGCAACAUUAGCUCAUAAUAGUGCAAUAUCUAUACAAAUUGUGUAAAUAUUUAUACAAAUAGUGCAAAAUAUUCACCGUUUAUACAUGUAAUGCAUGAUUUCUAUAGUAUAUUGUAAUAUGUUAUAUUAUUUUCGUAUUAUUUUCACGUAAUAUAUUAUAUUAUUCGUAAUUUUGUAUAAAAAUCAUGUAAUAUGUGUAUUAACGAUGCAUAUAUUGCACUAU
rnacentral:lncRNA from 1 species